AAAUUGAUUAAGCAAGACCACCAUAAUGAUUAGUUAUUAUUAGACAACAAAUAAAAGCGUCCUAUCUUUAACAAUAUAAGCUUCAAGACGAGACAAACAUUUCAACAUAGUAUCGAAUUGGUUGAGGUCUUCUGGCUUCGUGGCUUUGAGUAUCACUGUCACCCACAAAAUAUCAAUGUGUUCGGCCCCAAAAUAUUGCAGGCC
rnacentral:lncRNA from 1 species